AUUGAACGCUGGCGGCAGGCCUAACACAUGCAAGUCGAGCGAGCGGCGGACGGGUGAGUAAUGUAUGGGGACUGCCCGAUAGAGGGGGAUAACUACUGGAAACGGUAGCUAAUACCGCAUACUCUAGGAUAACCCAUAUGUGAUUAGCGAGUAGGGGAGGUAAUCGCUCACCUAUGCGACGAUCCCUAGCUGGUCUGAGAGGAUGAUCAGCAACACGGGGACUGAGACACGGCCCAGACUCCUACGGAGUCAGGAGGGGGGAAUAUUGCACAAUGGGCGAAAGCCUGAUGCAGCCAUGCCGCGUGUAUGAAGAAGGCCUUAGGGUUGUAAAGUACUUUCAGUCGGGAGGCGUUACCGACAGAAGAAGCACCGGCUAACUCCGGGCGAGCAGCCGCGGUAAUUC
rnacentral:rRNA from 1 species